AGGCUUAGUUGUUGUUGUUGUUGUCUCAGCUGUCUGCAUUUGUUUCUGGAAAAGUAGUUUUGCAUUUUGAUGACUUGCCUUUGUGGGUGCCUACUUCUGUCAUUUUUGAAAAUGAGCAAAAUAUGUUCAUCAACCUUCUCCAACAUACAAACCACUAUUUUUUUGCUAUUACAGGAAAAGUCACAUGACUUGCAUAUGACCAUCAAGUUUAGAUGGUCGUAUGCAUGCUCAUCUGACUUCUUCUGAUGUGCAAAGAACUAUUGGUUCAUGUGGCAAUGAGGUAUGAUGAGUAUAUGCUGAUUGCAAAUGUAUUUAAAAAAAGAAAGAAUUGGUUUCACCCAUUUUCUUAAUUUUGUAGGUUUAUUUUGGGAUGAAAUAUUUGUUUCUUGAAUCCUUAAUUAUGACAUUUGACUUUUCUAAAACUUGUCUAGACCAUGUUCUCAAGACACAAAUAAUUUGGGACUCACAUGCAAUGUGUGUGUUGGUUUGGUCCACCAUGUACCAUUGUUUAGGCAAGAUUACUCAUUUGGAAAAGAUAAGGGGUAAACCAUGACUUGCCUGGGUAAAGUUCUCAUCUUGCAACUGGAGAAGUGGAAGUGCAGAUGGGAUAGGGGUAAGAGAAUAGGAAGUGCAGAAGAGAGAGGAAAUGGCGGCUGUGAUGACUUAUCCUGGGUUGCCUUUUAUAGGGCAGCUGGACAGUCAAAUCAAAAAGGGACAAGGAGAAGCAACGAAUGGUGACACCUAGAGCUGAAAUGUCUUCAGCCCAGAAGCAGACUUUUUUCUCAGCAUGUUUCCCUUCCAUCUAUUUCUUAGUAUUCUCUUAUUGUACUGACAUUGUUUUUUCUGUUAGGUUUGAUCUUUAGGGGUUUGUGAUUUUGUGUAUUUGCUGCCAUGUCGUAUCUUAGAAACCACACUGUAGUUGAAGUUGUUUGCAGUCUCAGGCUCUUAGCUAUUUGAAUAUUGAAGUUUAACCUAUGGUAUGAUAUUUCCAUUAUCCUUUUGUCUUUUAGGAGGGCAAGGCCGCUUACUGUGUCUUUUUCAUAGGAUCCACAAGAGUUGGAGAUGUAAACAUUAAGCAAAAAUUACUUGAGUCCCUCCAAAAGCUAGUGUAAUUAAUGCUUUCGUACUUCUUGUUUAACAAAUGUGCACUUUACCUUCCAUGAUUCUCCCAGAACACAACAUUUUAGUCCUUGAUGUACUAUAAUAUAAAAUUUUUACUACAUUUUUGUCUUUAACUGAAAAAGUUAAAAGUGUUCAACUACAUUUUCCAAUUUAAAUGUUAGUUUUAUUAUAUUUAGUCCCUUGUUUUCUAUUUCAUUAAACACUUCAAGAACACUAAAAGUCUCAAAUUACUCACUAAUAUUUGGUCAAGGACUAAUACGCAUAUUUUUCAUGCAUUAGAGAUUCAAGUGUUAGUUUACUAAAUGUCUUGGGGUUCUAGUAAUUUUUCUGUAGGCAGGGCAUUUUUCAACUUUAUUGGAGCUGGACAUCAUGUGUUGCUCUUAGAUUUGUUCAAUUCUCAGAAUGAUUAAAAAUUCAUGAAGUGCUGCCGUGGGGUGGGGAGAAACUGAGAGCAGUGACGUUUGUCUGCAUUCCUCAACCUUAGAGUGCACAAAAUAUUCAGACGUUCGUUAGUAUAAGCUGCAACUAACCAACUAAAAACUAAUGAGUUUUAACUUGGUGGUACUAUAGUCAUUUUAUGACCUAGUUGGAGCCUGAACAAAAAAAGACCAACAAAAUAAAACUAUAUAAUUUAAAAAAAAAAAAGAAACAUUUAGAUCCCAAGAUACUGCAUUAGCAAAUCAUGAGCACUGUGAUGGGCUGGGGAGAAUAUUGUAAUGGUAAUUGCACAUGUUUUGAAGGAAAGACGGGAUUGAAGGAAUAGAAUGGGGAGUCCAAAGAGAAAAGUUGGACAUUUAGAAGAAAGCCACAUAUAGGUGAUGAAAGGUGGAAAGAACUGCAGAAAUAUUUAUUUCUUCUUAAUUUCCACAUAAGGUAAGAUCGAUUUUUGAUGGUCUGAAAUUCAAUGCAUUAAGGCUGUAGAUGCAGAGAUUGGCUUGUUUGGCUUUGAUUGCUAUCUGAUCUGAUGUGGAUUUGUAUCCAGGAACGUUGCAUGAUUUGGAAGAACUCCACAUUAAGCUUGCUUCACAGGAAGAUUCAAUGGCUGCUUCUGCACAUGCAAUUCCAUCAACAGCAGGUACUUCGAACUUGUAGAGUCCAUGCCUAUUUGUGGUUCUGUUUACUGAGAUUGAUACUUGUUCUAUGAUCUUUGGUGAACUUGCUUUGAACUUGCAGUCUAUUCUAACUCCUGCACCUGGUUGGACAUUUAUACACAUGAAAAAGUAUUAACUUCUAUUUCAUAUGGAAAUCUCCCUGAAAAUAUGUCUAAUAAAGCUUGGAAGUAGCUGUGGGUUGUUGGAUGUUAAUCACCUGGUAAGAAGUAGCUGUGUCUGGAGAAGCUAUUGUUGGAGCAGAUGUCACAAUAAACAAAACCCAUUACAGUGAUAUGGGCAUAGCUUUUGGUUGGGUCAACCUUUGAAGAUAAUGACUUGAUAAACAAAGAUGAAAGAAACAAGAGAAUAACUGGAUUCAUGGCAGCAAAAAUUUGGGAGAUUGGAGGGGGGAAAAUUCAGAUAGGCACCUCAAUGAACUGUUGGAUUUUAGUGAAUAGCAAUCAAAGCAUUAUGAUAUAGUUGUAGAAGAUGAGUUCUGUUUUGUGGAUAAGCAGCAGAGAGAGAGUUGCUGCUUGGUGGAGAUCCAACUGUAAACAAAAGCUACAGGAUAUUUAUCUUUUUCACUAGAAACAAAGACAUGUGAAUGUCAUUUGGCACAUAUGGAGUUAGUUGGGUAGGAAGAGUAUCUUCCUUUUUGAGGACUUUUCUGAUGUGGGGCUUCAAGUUUCCUUUUCCAGGAUAGCUCACAGAAAAAGAGAAGCUAUAGGGCAUUUAUAGACUCACAAAUAUGGAGGUUGAUACUCAAUCAAGGGAGAAAAUAAAGGAAAGUAGCUAAGGGAAGACUUGGACCUUUGUUUCUUGUGUUGUGAGUACUACUUGACUCAUAGCUAACCAUAGAAUGCAAAUUGAAGCCCAAAUCAUUACUUAGUGAGUAUGUUUAUAUGAUUUGUGAAGGUAAUCAAGUGUUGAAUUAUAUAUAUAUAUGUUCAUUGUUUGAAUUUAUUGCACAUGCAUUCAGUAGCAUGUGUUGGCGGUGUGAAGUAAAUUGUUGAGGAUAAAAAGGCUUUUGAAGAGGAUGAGACUGUUUUAGGAUAGGGAUUCAUGUUGCUCAUGUGAGCUUUUAAAUGGCCGGGACUUAAAUGCUUCACAAGAGUUGCCAUGAACAAAGAGCAUUUGCAGUCCAACUGAGGAGCAGAUUAUGUAGUUUUUGCACAAUUUUUGCAAUUUCAUAUCCUCACAAAACCAAACACAUUUGAAGGAGAGAUUGAUGUAGCUUAUCAACUUAUCUUUGCUCUUGAUUGGAAUUUUACACAAU
rnacentral:misc_RNA from 1 species